rnacentral:rRNA from 1 species
ACAAUGCACGCAAGUGUGAUAGGGGGACCCUAAGUGCUCAACACAUGUUGGGCUUUUGCCAAGAGUAAAUAUCUUGGCGAAUAAGUGGUGGGAAAGACUGGUGCCAGCCGCCGCGGUAACACCAGCGCCACGAGUGGGAAUCGUGUUUAUUGGGCCUAAAGCGUCCGUAGCCGGUCAAGUAAAUCUUUUGUGAAAUCAUCGGGCUUAACCCGAUGGCGUGCAGAAGACACUGCUUGACUAGGAACCGGGAGGAGUCAGAGGUAUGGGAUGGGGAGCGGUAAAAUGCGAUAAUCCAUCUUAGACCACCUGUGGCGAAGGCGUCUGACUAGAACGGAUUCGACGGUGAGGGACGAAAGCCAGGGGAGCGAUCCGGAUUAGAUACCCGAGUAGUCCUGGCCGUAAACGCUGUGAGCUAGGUGUUGCAUAUUCUACGUGAAUAUGCAGUGUCGAAGUGAAGACGUUAAGCUCACCGCCUGGGAAGUACGGUCGCAAGACUGAAACUUAA